GGAGUGAGGCAAUGCCUCGCCCUGCUUCGGCUCGCGCACGGUGCGCGCACCCACUGGCCUGCGCCCACUGUCUGGCACUCCCUAGUGAGAUGAACCCGGUACCUCAGAUGGAAAUGCAGAAAUCACCCGUCUUCUGCGUCGCUCACGCUGGGAGCUGUAGAGCGGAGCUGUUCCUAUUCGGCCAUCUUGGCUCCUCCGGCUUACAUUCUUGUAUGCUUUCAGACUUGAACUGAAUUAUACCACCAACUUUCCUGAUUUCCCAGUUUGCCAACAGCACAUCACAGGACUUCUCAGCCUCCACAACAUUGAAAUUAACUGUUCACUAAGAAGCAGAAUGAUCUUCACUGGAACAACGAAACAACGGAUGAUCUGCCUUUAAUAGGAUAAAAGCCAGUAUUUGCAAAUAUAAAAUACUAUUUUGAGAUCCUUGUGGAGUUCAUUUUUGUGUAUGGUCAGAGGUUAUUGUCAGUGUUCAUUUUUUGCCAUAUAGAUACCUGGUUGUUCUACCAUUUGAUGAAAGGUAUUAUCAUGUCCCCAUUGAAUUACCAUGACACUUUGUCAAAUAUCACUUGACCCUAUGUAUGAAGGUAUAUUUCUGGCCUCUGUUUUGUUCCAUUGAUCUUAUGUGUAUCACUGUGCCAAUAUAACCCUACCUUGAUUACUGAAUCUUUACAGUAUAUCUUGAUAUCGUCUAGGGUAAGUGAUCUAAAUGUAUACUUUUGUUUCUAAGUAUUUUUGACUUUGGUUCUUUGAGUUCUCCAUAUACAUUUGAUAAUCAGUUUGCCAAAUUUCUCAAAAAGCCCUGCUGGAUAUUGAAUGGAAUUAUAUUGAAUCUAAAUAUCAGUUUGGAGAUAACUGACAUCUUAAUAAUACAUCUUCCAAUCAAAUGCAUACAAUAUAUCUCAUUUAUUUAGAUAGGUUUGCUUUAAUUUAUUUUAGCAAUGUUUGCAGUUAUCUGUUCAGUAUUUUAUUUAAAUUAUUCCUAAAUAUUUCUUGAUUUUUGAUGCUAUGGGAAACAGUGUAUUUUAUUUUUUUCAUUAAUCAUUACUUUUGUAGAGAGAGACAAUGGAUUUUUAUAUGUGAAGCUUAUAUGCUGCGACCAUGACCACGCUAAACUCACUUUUUAGUUCUGAUAAAUUUUUUUGUACAUUUCAUAGGAUUUUUGGCAUACAUAAUUGUGAUUAUGUCACUUAUAAAUAAAGACAAUAUUACUUAUUU
ensembl:lncRNA novel transcript